rnacentral:rRNA from 1 species
AUUGAACGCUGGCGGCAGGCUUAACACAUGCAAGUCGAGCGAGCGGCGGACGGGUGAGUAAUGUCUGGGAAACUGCCUGAUGGAGGGGGAUAACUCCUGGAAACGGUAGCUAAUACCGCAUACCAUCAGAUGUUCCCAGAUGGGAUUAGCUAGUCGGUGGGGUAAUGGCUCACCUAGGCGACGAUCCCUAGCUGGUCUGAGAGGAUGACCAGCCACACUGGAACUGAGACACGGUCCAGACUCCUACGGGAGGCAGCAGUGGGGAAUAUUGCGCAAUGGGCGAAAGCCUGAUGCAGCCAGGCCGCGUGAGUGAAGAAGGCCUUCGGGUUGUAAAGCACUUUCAGUGAGGAGGCGGUACUCGCAGAAGAAGCACCGGCUAACUACGUGCCAGCCGCCGCGGUAAUAC